AUUGAACGCUGGCGGCAGGCCUAACACAUGCAAGUCGAACGAGUGGCGGACGGGUGAGUAAUGUCUGGGAAACUGCCCGAUGGAGGGGGAUAACUACUGGAAACGGUAGCUAAUACCGCAUACUAUCAGAUGUGCCCAGAUGGGAUUAGCUGGUUGGUGGGGUAACGGCUCACCAAGGCGACGAUCCCUAGCUGGUCUGAGAGGAUGAUCAGCCCCACUGGAACUGAGACACGGCCCAGACUCCUCCGGGGGGCAGCAGUGGGGAAUAUUGCACAAUGGGCGCAAGCCUUAUGCAGCCAUUCCGCGGGUAUGAAGAAGGCCUUCGGGUUGUUAAGUACUUUCAGCGGGGAGGCGUUACCCGCAGAAGAAGCACCGGCUAACUCCGUGCCAGCCGCCGCGGUAAUUC
rnacentral:rRNA from 1 species